rnacentral:rRNA from 1 species
CGGAACGGGUGAGUAACGCGUGAGGAACCUGCCUCAAAGAGGGGGACAACAGUUGGAAACGACUGCUAAUACCGCAUAAGCCCACGGCUCGGCAUCGAGCAGAGGGAAAAGGAGUGAUCCGCUUUGAGAUGGCCUCGCGUCCGAUUAGCUAGUUGGUGAGGUAACGGCCCGCCAAGGCAACGAUCGGUAGCCGGACUGAGAGGUUGAACGGCCACAUUGGGACUGAGACACGGUCCAA